rfam:Otolemur garnettii contig175460, whole genome shotgun sequence.
CCUAAGGCUCUUUUCAGAGCCAUCCACACUUUUCUAAAAGAACUGU